ACGAAUGGUACACCGUUGCAUUGAUUCAUCAUCAGCUGACAUACGCAUCUGUGCUUAGUUUACAAUAAUUUUACAUCGUCGGGCACGUCCAGGCAGCUGCUAGCUGGUCUGGUCUGGUCUGAUCUGAAGAGCUCACGAGCACAAAGCAAUACGCUGGCGCGUGCAACUACUACACGCCUACUCACGAGCAGAGGGCACAUCACUUGCCGGGGACGAAGUUGGUGGCGUACGCCCAUGCGUUGUUGGCGACGGGGUCGGCGACGUGGUCGAAGAGGUUCUCGAUGGGUCCCUUGCCGGUGACGAUGGCCUGCACGAAGAACCCGAACAUGGAGAACAUGGCGAGGCGGCCGUUCUUGAGCUCCUUCACCUUGAGCUCGGCGGCGGUGUCCGGGUCGUCGGCGAGGCCCAGCGGGUCGAAGGCGCCGCCGGGGUAGACCUUGUCGAGUCCCUCCCCGAGCGGGCCGCCGCCGACGCGGUAGCCCUCGACGAAGCCCAUGAGCACGACCUGGCAGGCCCAGAUGGCCAGGAUGCUCUGCGCGUGCACCAGGUUGGGGUUGCCCAGGUAGUCCAGCCCGCCCUCGGAGAAGAUCUGCGCGCCGGCCUUGAACCACACCGCCUCGCCGAACUUGACGCCGUUCUUGGCAAGGAUCUCCGGGAACACGCACCCCAGCGCGCCGAGCAUGGCCCACCGCGAGUGGAUCACCUCCAGCUCGCGGUUGCGCGCGAAGGUCUCCGGGUCGGCGGAGAGCCCCGCGGUGUCCCACCCGUAGUCGCCGGGGAACUCGCCGGUCAGGUACGACGGCGUCUGCUCCGAGAACGGGCCCAGGUACUUGGGGCGGUCAGGGCCGUACCUGCACGUACGUAGCUGAUGAUGCGUCGUCCAUGGAUCAAUCAUCAAGAGACAAAAGCAACUGACGAUGAGCAUGCACGUACCAGAUGCUCUGGGGAGCGCUCUUGACGGUGCGGCGCAUGGUGAUGCGGCCGCCGGCAUCGGCGGCGGCGGCGGGGCGGGAGACCAGGGCCUGGCCGAGGAAGCUGGUGGUCUGGUGGAGCGCCGACGCGGCCAUCUUCUGCGUGUCCGGUGAGCACGACGGCGCUGCUGCCUACUGGUCAGUGAGAUUGUUUUCGGCUGAUCGAGUGGUGGGAAUUGCCGGCGAGGGAGGAGGAUCUUUAUACGGACGCCGAUUGGCGCGCGGCGCGAUCGACUGGUGGUCAAGCGGCGCGCCACGUCGGCGCCGAGCCCAUUGGCUGCCGCCGCGCGCCGCUGGAUAUCGCGCGCCCGGGCGCCCAAUGGCCGGCUGCCAGGUGGAGGCAAGGAUCGCCUCGCCCAAAUCCAACGCUAUCUGGACCAAACAGCUCACGCAUCGCACUCGCUGAGUCGCUGUGCCACGUGUAGAGUACUAUGUCUCUGCGUACUAGCCGUUGUGUUUUGUUACUCCUCCUUCCCUCUUGUGUGAAAAUGUUUGUGAUGUUGAUGUUCCAAAAAUAUCGUGAUCCUUUGGCUCAAAAAGUUACUUCUAAAGAACUUUGUAAACUAUACCACUAUCCUUUUGGUUCAGAUAAUUGUCUUCAGGGGACUUUGUAGAUGUGCAUUAAGAAGAUGCUUAGGAUAAGCUAAUGGACGAAAAUUUACAAGCCAAAGGACGAAAUUUUACAAAACAUGUCCAACAUUUUCAUAUUAACUUAAAAUUUAAAAUGAAUGAGCGAUUUUGUGACAGAAAAACACAUUUAAAGUUUUCAAACUCAAACCUAAUUAAACACAACGAAGAUAGAAAAAAAAGGUGAAAACUGCGAUGUAGCUCUAGGAUAUAUGUCGUACUCGGCGGACUUCACAUGAGCCGAACAUUCGGCCUGUUCGGAAGGUCCACACAUGGGCCGAACAUUACGCCUAUUCGGAAGGUCAACAUGGGCUGAAUCAUUUGGCCUAUUCGGAAGGUCCACAUGGGCUGAACAUUCGGCCUGUUCGAAAGGUCUACAUGAACGAUGGGCCGAUGCCGCCAAGCCACAAGCCCGCAACCACCUUCUUCCCCGACUCCCCCAAGGUCCGCCAGCUCCUCCCUUCCCUCUCUCCCCCUCUGGAAGCGGCGGCGGCGAGAUGGGGAAGCAGAGCAAGAAGAGCAAGAGCAAGCGCGUCACGCUGAGCCAGAAGCACAAGGUGCUGCGCAAGGUCAAGGAGCACCACCGCAAGAAGCGCAAGGAGGCCAAGAGGGAGGGCAAGGCGGGCCAGCGGAAGAAGGUCGAGAAGGACCCCGGGAUCCCCAACGAGUGGCCCUUCAAGGAGCAGGAUCUCAAGGCGCUCGAGGCGCGCCGCGCGCAGGCGCUGCAGGAGCUCGAGCUAAAAAAGGAGGCGCCCAAGGAGAGGGUAUGCCAUGCCUGCCCCGCCCCGCCAUACCUGCCUUCCAUGAUUCCAUCUGCUGUUAUCGUUGGUGAUAUGCAUGCUGUUAGUUUGUGUCAGGACCCAACAAUAGUAUACAUUCAGUAUUACAGCCGAAUUCAUCCUCCAGUUGGUUUGAUUUCUUGGUGCAAAUAGAUGCUUCCCUAGAUUGGUAGUUGGUUUGCAAUGUGAAUAUGGCAAUCGCUAUCUUCAGUUUGGGUUCGACAAUUUCAUCAGAUUCAUUGGUGAAUAAAUUUUGUUGUGCAGUUUUGGAUAGCACCAACUCAGAUGUGGACUCAGGGCACACAAAUGUAGACAGUGUAUCAUUCAGUAGAUGGCCUGCUAUGGUUGGUGUCUGUCUUGAUAGUUUCAGUUCUAAGUUUUGUCAUCUGUUACAAAAAGAAAAAGAAAAGAAAAAACUAGUGGAAACCAAGACUGCUCUCUUUAUAAAUGUAUUUUGGUUUGUGAAAUUUUGACCAUUGUUUUAGUGGUUGGGUCUGCAUGGUACUGAGUACUGUAGGAUGGCGCUAAAUGUAUUGCCUGUAAAACUUUUGCAUUCACUCUGUUAGGACCAUGAACUUGCCUUAUGCUGGAUUGAGCAAUGAUCAAAUAUUGCCACCCUUUGCGAGGCUAGGGAGAUGAAUUCUGUGUGGUUUCUUCCUUUAAGGUUCAUUUAUGUUCUUUGUUCAAUAUUACAGAUAAAUAUAUUUCUUUUUCCUUGUGGUUAUUGAACGAUGAUACACUUCAUGCGCUCCUUUUUUCAGGCUCGGAAGAGGAAGCUCGGAUUGCUUGAGGAUGAGGGCAUUGCUAAUUUGGCCUCUACGGCUUCUGCGCAGGGCAGUGAGUUUGCAAAAAAGGAUGCAGCAAAGGAGAAUGCUCCUUUAGAAGUGGCAAAGAGCCAUGGUAAAUUUCUCAUCUCUCAUCGGUGAUUUAACUUGCCUACUUCAUGCAGUUACAUUAAUUGACUAAAUACACUAAAUGUGUCCCCAGAUCAUUCAGAGAGGUCUUUCUACAAGGAGCUUGUUAAAGUAAUUGAAGCUUCCGAUGUGAUUCUUGAGGUUCUUGAUGCGAGGGACCCGCUGGGAACCCGUUGCAUUGACAUGGAAAAUAUGGUUAGGAAGGCUGAUCCAACUAAACGGAUUGUUCUACUUCUGAACAAGAUAGGUAUUAUGCAGUGCUAUAUUGAGUUUAGAUUUUACUCUUAUGGCGGUCUAUGUCUUCCUACAUCUCAAAUUUCUGAUUCUUGAAUUCUAGAUCUUGUUCCCAAGGAGGCAGUGGAGAAAUGGCUUACAUAUCUAAGAGAAGAAAUGCCAACAGUUGCAUUUAAAUGCAAUACCCAAGAACAGAGGACCAAGCUAGGAUGGAAAUCUUCAAAACUUGAUAAAACAAGCAACAUUCCACAAAGCAGUGAUUGUCUUGGUGCUGAGAAUCUAAUCAGAUUACUCAAGAAUUAUUCCAGAAGCCAUGAGGUAAAGAUCCUGUCGUUUUCGGAGAAUGUUUACUUCUAGCUUCAGUCAUCUCUUAUCUAGCCCACAAGUUGAUUAUUGGCUUCUUUGAUAAUCCUUAUUCUGCAUCAUUCUAUGCGCUUCAUCACCUGACUUCAUUAUGAUUGGACCAUCGUUUCCAAUACUUUUUUACGUGUCCUACUUGUGUGAAUGAUAUUACCAUGUGUGGAAAAGAUUAAUGUAAUCCUUUUGAUCUUCAAGUGCAAACUUCCUAAAUUUUGUACCCGAACCUAGUGACUCAAUGUGUAGUAGUUUGACUUUUAUCAGUAUCUUAUCGUGAUGGUUCGAUUAGUGGUGUUUCCCUUCUUCUGUUUCUAGCUUCCUGUGCUUCAGCAUCUCAUACUUUUAAUGCUCCUGUAGCCAUUUACAUGUGCAUAUAGAGUUAGUAUCUUUUUUUUUGUGCUUUGUUUUCCCUUUUUGGUUAAGUUUUGUUAUUGGUGUGCUUGCAGCUCAAACUGGCAAUUACGGUGGGUAUUGUUGGGCUUCCUAAUGUUGGCAAGAGCAGUCUGAUCAACAGCUUGAAGAGGUCCCGAGUGGUUAAUGUCGGUUCCACUCCAGGGGUUACUAGAUCAAUGCAAGAAGUUCAAUUAGACAAGAAGGUGAAGUUGUUGGAUUGUCCUGGUGUUGUUAUGCUCAAAUCUUCCAACAGUGGUUUGUCUGUAGCCCUUCGCAACUGCAAAAGAGUUGAGAAAAUGGAAGAUCCAGUCAGUCCUGGUAAGCGCUAUUUUACAUGUUUCUCUGUCAUUUCUGUUAGGUUUUCUGAUACUUUUCAUUUUGUUCUAAUUACUCUUGAUAUUAUUUAUUAUUUAUGUAUUAUUCCAUUUGAUAAUUAGAUAGUACAUAAUGUGACUAGAGGUGCAAUACUUGACAUGUUCCAUGCUUUCUCUCUCUAUUUUUAAUGCUUCUAGUUAAGGAGAUCCUAAGUCUUUGCCCACAUGAGAAGCUGCUGUCUCUGUACAAGGUAGCAAGCUUUAGUUCAGUUGAUGAUUUCCUUCAGAAAGUAGCAACACUUCGGGGGAAAUUGAAAAAGGGUGGUGUAGUAGAUGUUGAAGCUGCAGCAAGAAUUGUGCUUCAUGACUGGAAUGAAGGUAUGGUUGAUAUUCUGUCAUCAACUUUGUUAAUUCUUUAUUGUUUUUAGUGACCUGACCCCCUUGUUUUUAGGUAAAAUACCAUAUUAUACACUGCCACCUAAAAGAGAUGCUGGGGAGGACUCAGAUGCAGUGAUUAUUUCAGAAGCUGGGAAAGAAUUUAAUAUUGAUGAAAUUUACAAAGCCGAGUCUUCCUAUAUUGGUGGUCUAAAGUCUAUUGAGGCUUUCCAUCAUCUCGAGAUUCCACAGAAUGCCCCACCUGGGAUCGAUGAAGAGAUGUUAGAGGUAAUAUUUUUUUACCAUAGUGGUUUUCCCUAAAUUCAGCUCAUAUUUUUCGUGUGGUAAUCAUCAGUAUAAAUUUGAUAUUGUUACUGCCUCCUCUUAAUUUCUACGAUUUUGUUCCUUGUGACUACCAGUUCCUUGUAAAGCUGAAGCAAUUGUUUCUGUGAGUUUGUGUUGUGUGGUUGCUGUGUAGUGGUGUGGUCUUAGCUCGACAUGCUCAUGUUAGGAUGUUUUUCAUCGGUUCUGUUUUUUCAGCAGAAAUUUUAAUCAUCUAUGAAUAAUGCUUUUGUACUCAUGAACUAUCAUGAUGUUAAAAGUUAGCGCAUGCUCUUCUGGUGAGAACACUCUUGGGAAUUCUCUGAAUGUUCUGUUCUGUUCUGCUUUGUUGCAAGUGAAAAAUCUUUCUUUAUGUAUACUUCUUGUCUUCACUGAACAGGAUGGCAAGAAGCCGAGCGAACCUGUCCAGGAAAGCUGCGAGGAGUUGAUGUCUGAUGCAAACAACCGGGAAGGAAGCAAGGCAAGCAGUGCUAGCACACAGCACGACAAGCUGUAUACCGCCGAGGGCAUACUCGACCCUCGAAAGAGAAAAGCGGAGAAGAAACGGCGCAAGGCAAACAAGUUCAGCGUGCUGAACGACAUCGAUGAGGACAAUGAUUUCAAGGUAGAUUAUCAAAUGAAGGAUGCGGCAGCCGAUGGUGAGGACGAUGAGAGCAACGAAGCAGUGGCUGAUGGUAAAGAUGGAGGAGAUGAAGCCAAGGAGAAUGACCCAAUGACUGGCAUCGAUGAUGCGUGAAACAAUGUAGCCCCUUCUGUGUAUUGAGUUCCAAAAAUGAGCAGCAAGUGGGGAGUUGCAAAAUUGACCCACAAAAGUUUUGUGCUCAGUUUGUUUGACACGAAAGUUCCAAAAAUGAUAGAUGUUAACUGUUGAACCUUUAUUUGAAAUGAGAAGAUAAGUAGGCUUGUGUGUGUUCACGAGGUGUGCAUUUUCUGUUGGGUAACAUGGUGAUAAAACACCUAAAAAGAUGGUAACUGUUCUUCCAAAAAGGGGGAAAAAAAAAAGAGAAGAUAUCUUCGGGAAUUCCUCAACUGCUGAAUUUGAUGACAUCUCGAUCAUCAAAUUGGCUGCUCUCCCAGAAGUACUGCCGGCGUCCCCGACGACGGAAGAAGUCGCCGUCGCUGAUCCAGAGCGCCUUCCCCAACCGCCAACCGGCCGAAGCAGCCGACUCGAAGCGCCGCGACCUGAUGAUACCCUCCUCGCCGCCGCCGACCGCAAGCCCCGGAGCUCCUCCCACCUGUUCGGAUACCACCACCUCUGAUGCCGGAUCAGGAUCUGAUACCCAGAGCGACCAACAAGUUGGUCCAGGGAAUAUCAUAUCUGAAAGCGUCGUCUCCCUCGUUUCCUACUUGGGAACCUUGAUCCUAUCCGAAUGCACAGGCAUACUCAACGAGGACCUGUACGAUGAUUUCACCACCAUUCUGACUUCAGCCAGCAGCUUCGUCAGAUCGAUUGGUGAUGUCGUCGAAGACGUGGUGAUCAAACUGCGGCUUCCCGACAAGGAGAUCGCCAGAGGCACGCUACACUACCACGAGCCCGAGCAUGAUAUUGCCGUCGUCGUCGUGACCCGUGCCCUCCGUUUCCAGCGGGCGCAUCUCAAGUCCACCCCCUGCAUCUACUGCAUGGAGGUCGAGCCCGAUCUCGAGGUGGUAGCCGUUGGGCGUCGCUUCGAGUCUGGUACGUUGGCGUCAACAGGGCUUUGAUCGGUGCUCCUCUAGUUGAUGCUUGAUUCCGGAGGCCGCUUUGCUGGGAUGAACUGCCAGGAUCAGGAUGGCGAGAUGACUGCGUCCCGACCGAAGAAUCUUGAGUUCUUGGAGCGUGCUGUUCACUAGGCCUGCUGUUCCUCCUGAGCCUCUCUAUUACGACAUGCUAAUAAACCACGACAUGGAGCUCGUCCAUGGCGGAGAUUACUCUUGUCGUAAGGAUAGACGGGCCAGAACUUGAAUUAGACUGAUUUGUUGGAAGCUUAUUGGUGCAAAAUUGCUGCCUCGUUGUGCUUUCUACUUGCUUGAUUGGUGCCAAACUGCCAAUGCUUCAAUUUUGUGAUGUGCUGCCACAUGAAUAAAUUGAUAAUGUACACACCCUCAUAGCGGCUUGGUGAAAAUGCAUACAGUAUAUGUGUGCUACUGCAACUAUAUGUGAAUUGUGCACGCUUGUGCGUGUUGGUGUUAUCUAUAUGAAUCUAAUGUUUGCAAUAUUUUGUUAUACUGGGCAGCUAGACAUGUUUUAACAAAAAAAAAGGACUAUUCUGUGUGCUCUGUGUCUAACAUCUGGGAUUCUGGGGUAUCAAAUUCAAUCUCAAGUUUUGUUUAUCUGCUAGUAUCUGCUAGUAAGAAUCCGAUUAAGAAAUUCCACAGUAGAAUAGGUGCCGUGCCAUAGAGCAACCAACAAAGAGUCAAAGAUUAACAGCUUAAAAAAGAGUCAUGUAAAGCAUACAGUCACGGCUGCGAUUCAGGCUUCAGUAAUGUCAAGAUAACUGCACAUACCAUAUAUACAAGACGUAAUCCGUAAUCCAUGGCAAGUUUUAAUCAAUACAUGUCUAGUAUGAAAAGCUAAGCAGAACCAGUCAGCACUGAACAACUUUCUCUUCUAUUUUCGACGAUCAGUUCAGGAAAACGCGUCGGCCUGUUCGCUUCAGCUUAUUCAGCUGGCUUAUCAGCCACCAAACAGUGUUUUCCUCUCACAACAAAUCAGCCAUUUCAGCUUUUCAGCCGGCUUAUAAGCUGAAGCGAACAGGCCCACGAUACGAUCAUUUCGCCAGCUACUACUCUAGUUUUUUUUUUUAAAACUAUUACUACCACUCUAGUUUCAAUGACGGAACACUGGUACGUCAAGGCUGAGAACGGUCAUACGGACCAAAAUAUGGAGGAGCUCUGGUACGGGCUGUGAAUGGCGCUCUUUGAGUUCCUGAAAAUGGUUGGCCACACUGAUUGUGAAUUCCUGGCCUGACAUAUGAAGAUAGCCUCGGGCGUUUAUUCCGUUCCUGCUGUCUCUGCCUGCGUUGACUUCUCUUGCGAUUCUUAUUAUUCUUUUUUCUCCCUUUUCGGUUUUGCCACACCCACCCUUGUUCUUGUCGAUUUUGAGGGUGCUGUUGCUGCAUCUCAUGUGGCUUCUGCUGCUGCUGCUCCUCUUCUGGCAUUUGGUGCAGCUCUUGUGGCCUUUUCUGUUGCUGCUGCUGCUCUAGUGGCAUUUGUAGCUGCUCGUGAUACUGCUCUUCUAAAUUGUGCUGCUGAUGUGUGCUUGAAAUGAAAGCUGAAACACCUGCUAGACUUUGCUGCUUGUUUGCAUACUUGUGUAACAAGCAGGUAAUUUCUGCCUUGAUGCUAUUACGAUGGGCAGCAUCUAUAUUGCACCCAUCAAUUGCACUCCAAGAAAAUAUUAGAGCAUUGACCUUCUUUGCCAUCACUUGAUUCUGCCCAAGGAUUUUGCAACAGCGUUAAAACAGUUGAAAGUAUUAUAUGUCUAUACCAGUAUUGAAAAUAUUACAGGAGAAGGGUUUUUUUUUUUCAAGAAAGGAAGGGGUUCUAUAAUUUUUUCCCCAUAAAGUGAGCAACACAACUUUUAAGGGAACAGGUAUAUGAUUGCAACAAUCAACUGGUCCACUACAUACUAAUUUCACUGCUUUAGAAAGAGAAAAAACAAAAAUACAUAUCAUGAACGAUUUAUCAUUUCAUUAAGAAGAAGAAUGGCAUCCAAUAUCUGACCCAAAAGGACCCAAACCUAUAUCUGGUGGGGGUGCACAGCCAAACCUAGUUUUAGUUUCUCAACUGACCACUUUAAGACUUGUGAAAAUUGAGCUUAUGAAAAGCAUGAAAGUGUGCUGUUUUUUCCCUCCAAAUCCAGAACUUCUUAAAGUUAAAAAAACACUACUACAAGUGCUAAACUAGAUAAACAAUCGAUUUCAUAUAAGUUUGAUUAGCAUAACAAGACAUCCUUUCCAAAGAAAUAGAACUAACCAGAGACUCCAGUGUGUAGCUUUCUUUGCUUAGUAUGUCUUCAGCAGUCUUCUUGGCAUUCUCAACAUAAUCUUUCAUGAUGGUAAGUGGAGGAUAUUUGUGAGUCAAAUUGAAAGUAUGUGCCAAUCUGAUAGCAUCAAGUGGCUGCCCAUUUUCAAUGAAAUGAUUGAUUGAAUCUGCAAAAGGAUGAAUUAAAUAUUACUCACAAAACUUGGUAAACCAAUAGGAUAGUGGUAUCCUUCCAGUUCCUGAGUUCCAGAAGCUUUCUAAGUAAUUAGCAUAAUUAAUAUUGAGGUUCAAAAUAUGCUCCACAACACGCAAUAACUGCAAACACAACACUGGAAGAAAAAGCAGUGACAGAUAAUUUUUGUUGUCAGAUAUGAGAAGUUGUUCCUAGAUUAAUGUAGAAGCUAUAGUAGCUUGAGAUAAAUCAUAUAUCAUCCAGGUGAUGCUGUGACUGAAAUAUGACAUAUUAUCAGUAAUAAUUAAUAAACAAGCACAAAUACUUGAGCGACUGAAACUUCAAUUUGACCACUGCAUCCAUAAAUGUGAAUUUCUCACUGAAAAAGGAAGGAAAGUACAUAUCACUACACAGGAAGGAAUGAAUUGAAAUACUCUGCAAUUUGCUUCUCAAUGCCACUGCAAUCUGCAAUCCAGUUCUAACUUCGAGUAGCUAGAGAUUGGCACCUCAUUAGCGUUUAAGCUAGAGUUUAUGGAUGCUACGGUUCAUGCUUUAACUUUGGAGAGGUUAAAACGUGGUUAGCUGGAGCAAGCUUAUGCAAUUCUGAGCACUGUGAUUUCUGAAUCACAAGUUAACUGCAACAUACAGGAGAACAUUCAUCUGCACGCAUUGCGUCAUAGCAUAGAUUAACUACAACAUAUGAGGUAGACAAAUUCAGCUGUGAGAUUUGUGGAAUCAUACCAGUCAUCUUCUCGAUCAGGCCAAGACGCUCGCAGAGCUCAACGCAGUUGUUCUUCAUCUGGGGAGCGAGAUUGCCAAAGAGACAGGUGAUCUCGUCAUCAUCGAACUCCAGGGCAAUGUUGUACGAAGCAACGAAGGUGAGAAGGCCCCAUCCGGCCAUCCGGCUCAUGUCCCCGCAACUCCAUGGCUUCCCGACCACCAUCUCCUUCCAGUCCCUCGCCACCCGCUCCGCCUUCACCAGCGCGUCCGCCGACGGCGCGGCGAGGCGCGGCGCGCACUCGAUCAGCGCGACGCAGUUUUCCCAUAACCUGUUCGUCUUGCGCACCGCUGAUGCCAGGAAUUCCCCGACGGCGCGGACGAGGAGGGCGUGCGGGUCCGCGGCGCCGAGCAGCGUCGGGAGGAACUCGCCCCGCGCGCGGAGGGAGCUCCUGCCGCUCAGGCACAGCAAGCCCACCAGCGCGGAGGGGUCCGCCGCGACGGCUCUCAUCGGGGCCGCCUCUGCGCCGCCGACGGCUGUGGCACGCUGACGCGGCAGCUCCCCCUCCUCCGGCUCGUCGUCCUCGACGCCGUCUCGGUCUGCGCUCGCGUUCACUGCCUCCUCCGCCUCCUCCAUCAUCAUGUCGAUAUCGCCGUCGCCUUGGCGGGGAGACGCCGCGGUCGCGCCCAUGGCAUCGUCCUCCGCCUCCUCGUCUCGCUCCGGAGACGCCUCGAUCGCCACCUGCGCCGCCUUCUCGUUCCCCGCUUCGUCACCUUCUCGGUCGCCGUCGGGACGCGCACUGGAUGCCUCCCGGACCUCCCCCUCAUCCACCCCGCGUUCCCGGUCAUGGGACGCGUUCUGGCCCUCCUCCCCUUCCUCCGCAUUGCUUCCUUGUCCCUCCGCCCACGCUCCGCGCUCGCCGCGGCGUUCCCGGUCCUGCUCCUGCUCCUCCUCCAGGUGCUCGACGAAGUUACCAGUGGUGGCCGGGCUCGCAGCGGCUACGUCCGCGGCGUGGGGGGAGUCGAGCUCGGGGCCGGGCUCGAAAUGGCCGAAGCGGGCGGCGACGGAGGCGAGGUGCGCGUCGAGGUCCUCCCAGCGGAAAGGGACGGGGACCGGGGAGCAGGCGGCGAGGCGGUCGAAGGCCUCCCGGAGGCGGCGCCUCUUGGCCGGGAGCGCGGCGACGGCCGCCUCGAGCUCCGCCUGCGUCGCCAUCGCCGCCGCGGGAGCGGUGGUGGUGGGAACCGGCGGCAGCGACGUGGGCGUUGGUUGGGAGGCGGACUGCAUUUCGCUUCGCGUGAACACAACCCCUCCACUUGGGUUUUCGGUUUUGGGCCGGCAACGCUACAAAUACAAUAAGCACCGUCUGAUUCGCAAAACCCCUGCCACUGGAUCAUGAGCUGUUCAUUCCAUUGCAUGCCACUCCGGGAGUGACUUUUUUGCCCAUUACGUGCAGUUACCGGACAAUGAGGUGGUAUUUGGUUACUGGGUCGGAAUGGGUUCGACCCACAUCNNNNNNNNNNNNNNNNNNNNNNNNNNNNNNNNNNNNNNNNNNNNNNNNNNNNNNNNNNNNNNNNNNNNNNNNNNNNNNNNNNNNNNNNNNNNNNNNNNNNNNNNNNNNNNNNNNNNNNNNNNNNNNNNNNNNNNNNNNNNNNNNNNNNNNNNNNNNNNNNNNNNNNNNNNNNNNNNNNNNNNNNNNNNNNNNNNNNNNNNNNNNNNNNNNNNNNNNNNNNNNNNNNNNNNNNNNNNNNNNNNNNNNNNNNNNNNNNNNNNNNNNNNNNNNNNNNNNNNNNNNNNNNNNNNNNNNNNNNNNNNNNNNNNNNNNNNNNNNNNNNNNNNNNNNNNNNNNNNNNNNNNNNNNNNNNNNNNNNNNNNNNNNNNNNNNNNNNNNNNNNNNNNNNNNNNNNNNNNNNNNNNNNNNNNNNNNNNNNNNNNNNNNNNNNNNNNNNNNNNNNNNNNNNNNNNNNNNNNNNNNNNNNNNNNNNNNNNNNNNNNNNNNNNNNNNNNNNNNNNNNNNNNNNNNNNNNNNNNNNNNNNNNNNNNNNNNNNNNNNNNNNNNNNNNNNNNNNNNNNNNNNNNNNNNNNNNNNNNNNNNNNNNNNNNNNNNNNNNNNNNNNNNNNNNNNNNNNNNNNNNNNNNNNNNNNNNNNNNNNNNNNNNNNNNNNNNNNNNNNNNNNNNNNNNNNNNNNNNNNNNNNNNNNNNNNNNNNNNNNNNNNNNNNNNNNNNNNNNNNNNNNNNNNNNNNNNNNNNNNNNNNNNNNNNNNNNNNNNNNNNNNNNNNNNNNNNNNNNNNNNNNNNNNNNNNNNNNNNNNNNNNNNNNNNNNNNNNNNNNNNNNNNNNNNNNNNNNNNNNNNNNNNNNNNNNNNNNNNNNNNNNNNNNNNNNNNNNNNNNNNNNNNNNNNNNNNNNNNNNNNNNNNNNNNNNNNNNNNNNNNNNNNNNNNNNNNNNNNNNNNNNNNNNNNNNNNNNNNNNNNNNNNNNNNNNNNNNNNNNNNNNNNNNNNNNNNNNNNNNNNNNNNNNNNNNNNNNNNNNNNNNNNNNNNNNNNNNNNNUUCAGCUAUUCAGUUGAUUCGGGUUGGAUUGGGUCCAACCUACAUGGAAUAUUCCCUUCAGAUCCAGGUCGAGAUGGUCCGCACAAAUCGAGCGGACCAUCUUCACUUUGACGCCAUUCUGCUCCGUUCGGGCGCGGGCAAGGGAGGCGAGCGCGGCUGCGCGAGAAUGAGCGCCUAGGGGGAGCUCCGCCACCGCUGGCCGAGCUCGAUCCCCGCCGCGGCCGCCCGGGUGAGCUCGAGCCCCGCCCGGUCAAGUGAGCGAGCUCGAGCCUUGCUGCGGCCGAGCGAGCUUGAUCCCCGUCGCGGGAGAGGGAGGGAGGGGGUGGCUGGCGGCACGAGGAGAUGGAGGGGCACGACUGGCGUGGGAGAGGGAGGGAGGGGGCGGCUGGCGGCACGGAAGAGGGAGGAUCGGCCGGCGGCGUAAGGAGAUGGAGGGGGUGACGGCCGGCGCAGGAGCGGGAGGAGCGGGGGCUGGUGUGGGAAGGGAGGGAGGGGGACAUGAAAGGGGCAACGGCUCUACACAACUGAGACAAAAUCAUGUGAUUCCUCAAGAAGAGGCAGAAAACGGGCUCAACACCAAUCACAUGAAAAUCCAAAUUCAAAUCAAAAACCAGCUCCUCAAGAAGAGGUAAACCAUUAGUGUAGCCAAGAACCCCGUUCUCCACUCAAAAACUAAACACAUUGAUGUGAGAUAUCAUUUUCUGAGAGAUCAUGUUGAGAAAGGGGAUAUUGACCUUGGCUAUGUUGCUACCCAAAACCAACUCGCGGACAUUUUCACCAAACCCCUGGAUCAAGCCACUUUUGCUCGUUUGCGGGGGAGUUGGGUGUUUGCUUUCCUUUCUGAGUUGGGUUUUUGGAGCUUCUCUUGUAUUAUACUUGUAUCAUUUUUGUACAAAACAUGGUAGGAUAGCCACUUCUUCAUGAUAGCUUUGAGUUCUUCAUGUAUAUCUUAUCAUGCUAUCUUUUGUGAUAUAUUGUGGUGGAUGAUACAUAUGAACAUCAUGUCAUGCUUUACCUUAGUUCACAUUUGGGUGUGGCAUGUUGUUCAUCUGUAUCAUUUUAGCUUAGUUUCCAUGCAUUUUGUAUCAUAUUGCAUUUUGUAUCAUGUUGCACUAGAUGAGCUUCUCCUAUAUAUCUUGUGUACUCCCUUAUGCUACUUGUGAGCUAGUGCUGUGGUUGGUGAUUUUGAUGCAAUGUGCAGUUAUGCUCUUGAUGAUAUUGUAUACUUGUUGAGAUAAUUGUUUUUGAAAUUCAAUGCUAAAUUCUACUCUAUUACUUGCUUAUCACCCAUGAGUAGAUGCUUGGUUAUGGUUUGCCCUUGGUUGAAUACUGGUUCCAUAUCUAGCUUAUGUUUGGAAUCCAUGUUCUUUUCAAUUGGGUCAAAGAUCUAGGUAUCAUUGCAAAUGUUUAGCCCAUGAUGCACCCCUAGGGGAAGCAUGGCUUCUUUGUGCCUCAAAUGCACUUCAUGUAUUUUGCUUUGUGUGAAUACUGAAAAGAAAUAUGCUGAAAACUUCAUAAAUUCACCAAGUUUUUGUGCUUAAUGUGAUAUUAUUGCUUGCUUAGUUGUUACAAGAUGUCUACCAAAAGAAGUAGACACUUGGUUUCAACAAGCUUUAAACAUGACUUGGGAUGCAUAUGUGGGUGUUUGCAAUGAUCUCUUGUUGAGAAUGGAUUUUCCUAGUAUGAGCUCUUGAUGGACUAGUCUAUUCUUGCUUGGGUGAUUCUUAACUAGGUAAAUGCUCAUGUGGUGAUCUUUUUAUACAUUGCUAAAACUUGAUACUUUCUUCACCUCUACUGUUGUAACUUGAUAUCAUCUUGUUGGCGAUGCUAUUGUUUCUUAUGAUCUAUCAAGCUUUAUCUUCCUAGUAGCCUUUGAGAGUGCAUUGUGAUAUAUUUGAGAAGCUUUUUAGGUUCUACAUUUUCAUGGCAUGCACUUUGUGCUUUCAUGCUUUUCUUGAUGUUGCAUUGUCAACAAGGGGGAGAGAAAUCUACACAAACUCUUUCAUCUAUCAAGGGGGAGACCUUGCAUGUAUGCAUGAUUUCAGGGGGAGUGCAUAUGUUCAGGGGGAGUAUUUAUGAGUUGUUGUUAUACUCUUGUUAUGCUCUUAUGCUCUUGUACCGGUCACGUUGAGCUGUUUACCUCUUCUUGAGUAGCCGGUUUUUUAUUUGAGUUUGGAUUUUCAUGUGAUUGGUGUUGAGCCCAUUUUCUGCCUCUUCUUGAGGGAUCACAUAAUUUUGUCUCAGUUGUGUAGAGCCGUUGCCCUUAUCUUAGGGGACUGAGAUUUUCCAUUUUGAGUUUCUUGUUUUCUGUUUCAAUACUAUGAAUUUGUGGGGUGUUGUCAAUGCACUCAUCAAGAGGGAGAUUGAGGACCAAUGGUGGUCACCCUUGGAUGAUGAGUGAUUGACAACGUUGUGUUGGAUUGAUGUUGCUCUUGGCUUGUGAUGUGGAGGUGUAGGAUGCGACGUGACAGUCGAUGGCGUGCGGUGAAGGUCAAGCGAAAGGUUCAUACCGAUGGACCAAGGGCGGUGAAGGAUGAACGCGAGUACGCUUGGACCGAUGGACCCGAGUAGUCCGCGCGGAGUCACGGGCGGUCCACAUGGUGCAUGGAACGACGAGAGAACAUGACGAGAUGGAGAUGACGUCGGUCGAGUCGAGCGGGAGGCUUGGCAGAGGCCGGACACGUGUUGACAUCAAGGAGGUCGCGUAGCGGCCAAGCGAAGAUGGACGGUUUGGGUGGUUUGGGCCUCAAAACCACCGCGCAGGCAGGUUUCCCGGUUUGUGCCUCAAAACCGGGGGUGAGCCCGGUGCGGCCGGAGCUUCAAGAAGGAGGGCACUUGGUGUCAUCGCGAAGCUUGCGUCGAGGCGAAGCAAAGUCGUGAAGGCGGCGUGUCCGUCCGGUGCGCGGAUAAAAACUUGGACCAAAAUGCCCCUGCGUGGGUAGUUAUCUUAGUUGUAGCUGUAGGGGUAGUAUAGUCUUUCGUCCUGGACUAUAAAUAGGGAUGGGGGGCUGGUUAUUUCAGAACCCCUUGGCUUAGCAACUCAUUAUCUUUUAGCUUAGAGGCUAGUCAUGUGCUUAAAGUGAGAGGAGAGAGGAAGAUUAGAGAGUGAUUACUCUUUUAUCUUGAUUUCUUCAUCUUUAGUGGGUGGAUGAAGGGUGGAGGCUAGUCCUCAUCUUGUAUAGAAGAUGUUCUCGUGAUUUAGCUUUGUUUGUUGUCUCAAAUCGUGCUAAAUCUUUGAUUCCCGAGCGUUUUUCUUUUUCCCUAUUUUCGGAGCUAUUUUUGCGGAAUUUUCGUUCAUCAUGUUUGAGCCCGAAUCUCAUGAGAUAGGUUGAAGGGAAAUGUUGCUAGGACCUUGGAGAGCAUCUUUGAUAUGAUCCUCCUCCAAAUCGCUCACGAAUUCGGCUUGAUUUUAAGUUUUUCCCAAAUCGUGUUCUUGAAUUAGGGUUUCGGUUUUCUCCAAGAUUAGUGAUGAAUACUUGAGUUUUUUGAGAGUUGUCUCAUGGAUCUAUUUGACCUUGGGGUAUUGCAUCCUUAUCUCAAGUUUCGUGUCAAAUCGUGGAGUAUCGAGAAAGGAAUUUUGGAUUGAAGUGUGGCCGGCGUUCUUGUUGUGUUCUUCGGUUCUUUCUGUUCUUCCUUGUGCAGGCGUUGAGCAAAGCGAUUCGCAACAGCAGGAGCAACACGCUCGUGUGCAACGCAGGCCGAACCGGCAACAACGUGCAGGCUUGAGCAAAGUCGGCCCAGUUCGCACGUGCCAGACGGCCCAGCGUGCAAAGCUGAGCAGCAGGCUUGGCCUAGCUCGCGCGUGCCAAGCAGCCUAGAGCGCAUGCUCGCUUGUGGCCCAGCACAAGCACGUGGGCCAACACAGGGGAGUCUCAGGUUCGUGCGUCAGGUAGGUCACCAGGUUUAGGAAGUCCACGCAAGGAGCAGAUUAGCUACAGUGAGCUCAUUCCUUUGGUCUUUUAUUAAUUCAUGCACCUUGGUAGUUAAUUCCUAUUUAGCUACUUGAUUAGUUUUGACUCUUGCUAAUCAUGCUUAGGUCUUUAAAUUAAUUGUUUCUUCUUGCAUGCUUAGUUUAGUAAGUGGUUAGUAAUGAAAUCAAUUCAUGCUAUGUUUCCGCUGUGAUUUGAGCGUUCUCUUAUCGUUCCUAGGGUGAGCUUGUCACGAGUUGACUUGCGUCAUCUUGACGAUAGAACGCACGGUGUGGUGUGGGGUUGCAUUUGGGACAUAGGCCUUGAUUUUGUUGAGAAUUUUUAUAGGCUCCCAUUCACCCCCCUCUGGUCGCUCUUUCGGUCCUUCAUCUGAAAAUUAAAUUAUGAGCAGAUUUAAAGCCUCUUCAACUGAUGUUAACACAAGUUAUCUGAAAGUAUAAGUUUGCUUAAGAAUUUGGUCAACAUUUCAGCCAAAUUUAUUAUGAAGACUAACUUUCCUGCACAAAGUAUUUCUUAAGCCUUUGCAGGAGUGCAAUAUAAUGUAGUUAGGAAGAUAUGAUGCUGCAAUGUGACUCAAGCAAACUUUAACAUACUGUCUCCCAAGCUAAUAUAAAAACAAUUCUUGGUGAGUGCAUUCUGCAUUGGACUAUAAAACACCACGUUAUUUUUUUUCAUGCAUGUUUGUUCACUGAACCAGAAAUAGGGGGCACAACAAAUGCAUCUUACAUCAAGGACUCGCUCCUGAAGUAAUGAUUCUCUUAUUGAAGGCCAAAAGCAUAAUACGCACAGCACAUGUUCUCUUAUCAGCAGCGGUAACAUUGUCAUAUCAUGUAUGAGCAGAAGUGUAUUAACAUAAUUAUGAUUAACAAUGAUAAAAGGCACAACCGUACUUGGGAUCCUAUCGUCAAGUCCGAGACCCUUAAAGAGCACGGAAUGGUUCCUCUGUUGUUUGCGUGGGAUGGUACCAAAGAUACGGAAGAUCUCCUUCGUGUCAAACUCUGAUACAAUGUUAUAUGAGCUGAGGAAGUUGAGCAAGCCCCACGAGGCCAGGCUGCCUAGGGACGUGCAGCUCCGCGGAUUGUCGAUCAUCUCCUUCCAACCCGUAGCUAGCCAUUGUCGGGCAUACUCCCCAGGUCCACGAGUAGGCCUUGGACGGCCCACCAAGGGACGUACUCGGACGAGAUCAGAACAAGGAUGGGCGUAUCCUUCUCGGACUAGUCUUGUAUGAUUAUGGAAAACUACUCGGGCCAAUACCGAGUAGAACUCUGUAAUAGUACCCGACUAGGACUCAGACUUGUAACCCUACCCUCCCGCGUAUAUAAGGCCGGGCAGGGACCCCCCUCAAGACAUCAGGUCUAUCAUCAUCGAUCUAUCUCUCGACAUCAAUACAAACCAACACACAGGACGUAGGAUAUUACGUGAUCUAGCGGCCCGAACCAGUGUAAAUCGUGUUCCGUGCGUCACCAUUGAUUCCUUGAUUCUCGACGACCCUUACCGCAUAAAAGACCACCUAGGGUACCCCCUACCUGGCGCGCCAGCUGUCGGUGUUUUAGAUCGGCAACCUUGCCGGUAUAAAAUACCGACAACCACUUUGCCUGCUCAAGAGAAUCUGUAGAAAGCUUGGUAACAACUUCAGGUACUGUUUGAAUUAGCCCAACACGACCUUGUUGGUCUUCAGCGUCUUGUCAUGUAGGAAUAAUUUAAUUACACGGAGAGACAGUGCUGCACCAUGUGGGGCAUGAUGCAUUGCAACAUGGAACUCUGAACUAAGCCCGACAUUGGUAUGUAUGAGCUUGACCAACCUCAGCGCAUUCAUGUUUGUGAAUGCUGCAGCAAGAUCAUUAAAUUCAACUGGACCUGGACAAGCUUGACUACCCUGGUCUCGAGGCACCCUCUUGGCCUGCUCCCCCUUUUCCUCUGUUGUGUUUUUGGUAUCCUGCUUCUCCUCGUGAGCCUCCUGCUCUUCUUCUUCCACCUACUUCUCACCGCAAAACCUCUUGCUCCUCACCCUACAGUGCGGAUGCCUUCUUGGUCGCUGCCUUCUCCAUGUGAGUAUCCUGUUCUUCCUCCAUGUUGGCAUCCACCUCCUUGUCCAGAGAGGCUUUCUUCACAUCUUCCAUACUCUGCUCCUCCUCCAUGUUGGCAUCCUUCUUGUCCUGAGAGGCCCUCUUACCAUCUUCGGUACUCUGCUCCUCCCCAUUGGCCACCCGCAUCUCCUCGUCACCAUCCUUGUCAUCCUUCAUUUCAUUGCCAAUCCUGUCGUCGGCCGCCUCCACAACUUCCUCUUCCUCCAGCACCUCAUCUCUGUCCUCCUUCUCAUCCUUACCAUCCUUGCCAAUCUUAUCGCCUGCCUCGUUGUCGUCACAUUCCUGCAUCUCUUCAUCCGCCUUCUCUUCCUCUUGUUCCAUCACCACCUCUUCCUCUUGUUCCACCAGCACCUCCUCCUCCACUUCCACCACCUCCUGCGGCCUCGUCUGGCAGCAGUGGGUGCAGGGCAGGCGGCCUUGUCUGGCUGCGGUCACUGCACCAGGCGCGCCUCGACGCCGCCGUGCUGCACCAACAGCUCGCCGCCAGUGCCCGACCACGCCAUCCAUGCGCAUCGCCACUGCAUCCCUAUUCGCCUCGUCAUGCGAGCCCAACCCUGCCACGUCGCGCAUGCGGAGCUCCACCUCAUCACGCCAUCGUCCUAUGCGCCUCCUAUGCUCGAGCAUCCCAGCAGCCAUUAACUUCGCCCGUUCCUAUGCGACGCCCAUCGACAGUCCACUCCACCUCGCCUCCGGCCUAUAAAAGGGCCUCUGCUCCGCUCUUCACUCCACCACCGAGCUUCCCGGCCAACUCCCCCUCGUUCUUGUGCUUCCAUUGCCGCUCCCGCUAUCUCCCGCCCACCGUCGCGGAGCUGCCUCCACCAGCCGCCUCAGCCCAAGGUAAGGAGAGGAAUCGAACCCCCUCGGUCUCCUCUCCAUGUUCCCCCUCUUCCCAGUCGCCGGAGUGCCCCAGCACCGUCUCUCCCCAACCAGGCUGUUUCCUCCUGUUUCUUCCCGUGACAUUCUGUCUCAAGGAAGAAGAAAGCUCUGUUUUGCAUUUUCACCCAUCCACUUAUUUCUUUUUUGCAUCCAAACCCUCCCACCUCUCUCUUUGCCAUUUUCAUCAAAAACUGUUCCACCUCCAAAAAUAAUUACAAGCAAGUCCCUAACUCCUUACAAAUAAGCCCCUGAUCCUCUAUUUCGGCUCCAAGAAUACCUUUGCCUCGUCAUAUUAUGCACCAAAUUUCCUCCAAUGAAACCCAAAUUCGACCACGUCAUUCUUAAAUAUAUUUCCACCGAGUCAUCUACAAGAUCCCAGAAAAUACUCCUCAUUUCAUAUUUUUAGUCACUCCCUCCCUUCGAACUCAACGGGUAAAACUUUAUCUUCUCUUAUUGUGCACUUGCUUGUGUGUCGUAGAUCGCACAGUGACCGCGGAGGAGCCCAAAGAGGAGCUUGAAGCCUAGUACCGUGAGCCCGAGCCUGAAGACUCGUACCGCGAGCAGGAACUCCCGGAAGACUUUGAGGACGGCAAGUCCAAUCUCAUCCUUUGAUGCAUAUUUAUCCUAGUUUUUCAAACACAACCUAUUGGCAUGUUUUACAAAAAUAGCAUAUUGUUUUACUACUGAAACACGAUUGGAUAGCCACCCUUUGAUUGUUAUGAUUAUUCCUUAAUAUCCUAUAAUUAUCUCUAAAUAUGACUUACUCUAUUUGGAUGAUAAUUACUGCUAGAAGGCUUAGGACCUUGUUACUUAUCACAAUUCAAUCAUGACUACAAUGAACAAAGGUGUGGUUGAGUAGGUUGGGAGAUAUCCAUCUUGUCAUGGUUAAGGACCGAGUUGAUGUAUCAUCUUGCCUAACCCAGUUUAUCGUGCAACCAUUCGACCGUUGUACGCGGUAACAGCUUAGCAUAAAUCCCACUAGCUAGUCUGUUAGCCAUCAGGAGAGCUGGCGAGCAACGAGAGACCAUGGAGAAGGAGUAAGAGCUGUGUGAACUUAGAUCCCAGUUGAUACCUCGUUGGUAGGUCAUUAACCCCUUGGUUGCUUCCGUGUUGGCUAGUCAGGCUUAACUAAGGUGGGUAAUGGCUCUGAUAGGAUCUGCACUGACACUAAGGUGAUCAUGUUGUGGUACCCUACUUGUGGGUAAAGUGUACAACAUCUGCAGAGUUAAAACCUAUCCGGGUAGCCGUGUCCACAGCAUUGGACGAGUGACAACUUGGUCACAUGACUAGUGUUUGGGAGACGAAUGAUUUCCAUGGUGUGUGUUGGAUUUUGGAAGUGUCCGGCAGUUGUGGCGUGAGCUACUGCGGACGGGAAGUCCGGUAGCAUUAAAAAUUGGAUCCUUUGUGUAGGAUCAACCCCACUUAAUGAUUUGGUUACUAAAGAAAUGCUUUGCGAAAAUCCUUUUGAAAAUAAACCCUUGCAUGUGUUAAAAUCUACCUUUAUUCCAAAUAAACCUUAAGUCUUAUUCUUGUUAUAUCCUGUGCAUAUUCUUGGUUGUAUCCCCCUUCUUGGAUGGGGUUGGACUUGUCGAGUACUUUUGUACCCACCCUUGUUUUGUUGCUUCAGAGAAAGAUCCGGACUUCCUCGCUGAGGAUUUUGAGUAGGAGGUCGCUUCCGCACCCAACGCUGCCUGUGGUGUUGGCUCUUGCAGAAUGCUUCCGCUGCCAUGUAGUCUCGAGUGAUGUCUCUUGACAGUAGCUUGGCUCGCUGCUGUUGUUUAUUUACUUAUCAUUUCGACGUGGCUUUCGCGCCCACUCCCUCGGGAUUUGUACGGUUUAUGAACCAUCUAUCAAAUAAAUGUGUUAUCAACCUCCUGGGACUAAUAUUUGUUUCACAUUUAGUCUCCGAUGAUGUGGGGAUGCUUCACAGGGUCAACGAGGGUCUGCGCGGGGUGAUCGGGGAUGAACAAAGGGAGGGAGCACGGCGGUGAUUGGGGAGGAAAAGAGGAAGGCCAUGCAGAAGGAAGCACUGAAGGUGGCGUAGGCUGCCGCCGCAACAAGAUGGUGGCGAGACUACGAGGCAGAGGGGAGCCGGCUCUGAACUACGGUGAGUACUCUGAUUUCUCUACCAUAUCGAUUGUAGUGAUUGGAUUUUAGGGUGUGAUUCUAGAAUAUUGAAUUGAAAAACUUGGAUUUGGCAGAUGGGAUUGUUGAUUUGGGGAUAAUUUGUUAGGGUUUUGGCUUUGAUAUGGAUUUUAGAAUUUCGGGGAAAAACUCAAACUUUCGAGAGGUUGUAUCUAAUCAAUUUGAUUUGCUUGUGCAUUGUAAGUCCUGGUUCAUAUGAGUUCAAUAUUGAGGUUCACCAUGGGGGUUUCUUUGUUGGAUUUGGUCAUCUGAGGUCAUAUAUGGGUGAGAAGAUUGAUUGGUCUGAUAGGAUUGAGACUGAUACUUGGAGUCCUUUGUGGUUCGAGAAUUUUGUUUAGCAGCUUGAUUAUGUGAGUAAUAGCAACAUCAAGUAUUAUUGGUUGUUACCAAGGAAGACCUUAGCUGAUGGACUGAGAGUGAUAGCUUCUGACCAUGACACCAAUGUGAUGGCAUCAGUGAUACAGAAGUUUAGGACUUUAGUAGUGUUUAUUGAUCAUGAUGACAACACGGGAGGUCUUGAUUGGGAAGAUGUGGUUGCCAAUCAAGUUGUAAUAUUGAGAGGAAAACUAGUGAGAAAUUACCACUGUCCUAUACUGGCUUGAAGAAAGGUAGAGUUGAGCAAGAUGGUCUUAUUCAGGAAGAGUACAAGGAAUAUGAGCAUGAUGAGAAGUUCAUAGACAGUGAUAAUGACAUAGAUGCUAGUGAUAAGGACUUGUUGGAGGAUGCUGUUGAAAUGGAUGUGAAGGGUCUGAGGGAUAAUAAGAAAGCAAGAGGAAGCAAACUGAAGUCAUAUGAGAUAAAUAGACUUGCACAAGUCAAUGAUGAUGAGGAUAGUGAUGAUGACGGCUUGGAGCUGCCAGAUUCAGAUGGGGGAGAUAGGCUGAAGUUCAAAUCUUGGAAUGAAGAGGACAUCAAUAAUCCAACAUUAUUUGUUGGACAAGUGUUUCAAUCUGCUAAAAAGUUGAGAGAGGCAAUUAUAGAAUACAGUGUGAGGAACAGGGUUGAAAUACUACUGCCCAGGAAUGACAACAGAAGGAUAAAGGGUCAUCGUGCUGAAGGUUAUCCAUGGACCUUAUAUGCUUCAUUGGAUAGAAGGUUCGGUCAUUUGUUGUGAAGACAUACUAUGAAGUUCACAAUUGUCAGAAAGAGUGGGUACUUAGGAGGUGCACUUUUAGGUGGUUGGUUAGUAAGUACACUAAUUUAUGUAGAGCCAAUGAGAAGAUGAGCAUCACCAGCUUUGGCAAGACAGCCCAAAAAGAUUUGAACUUGACCAUUUCUAGGAUCAAGCUUGCUAGAGCAAGAAGGCUGAUUUUGAGUUCUAUUCAUGGAGAUGAAGUCCAGUAGUACAAAUACUUGUGGGACUAUGCUGAAGAGUUGAGAAGAAGCAAUCUUGGGAGCACAUUCUACUUAAAUUGUGCUAAAAACUUGUUCAGUACAUGUUACAUGUCACUGGAUGCAUGCAAGAGGUGUUUUUUGACUGGAUGCAGGCCCAUGAUCUAUCUAGAUGGAUGUAACAUUAAGACCAAGUUUAGAAGUCAGUUUCUGAUAGCAGUAGGCAUUGAUCCUAAUGAUUGUAUAUAUCCUAUUGCAAUGGCUGUUGUGGAGGUAGAGUCACUUGCUUUAUGGAAAUGGUUUUUGGAAACUCUAAAGGAUGAUCUAAAGAUAGACAACACAUAUCCUUGGACAAUUAUGACAAACAAGCAAAAGGUAUGUGAUGUGCGCAUCUUGAAAUCUCCAUAUUGAUUAUGUGAUGUGCAUCUUGAAAUCCUCACUAACUAUUUUUUUUAAAAACGUGCAAGGACUAAUCCCAGUUGUGCAGCAGGUAUUCUCUGAAUUAGAACACAGGUUUUGUGUGAGGCACCUGUAUUCAAAUUUCCAAGAAAAAAUUCAAGGGUGAGAUUCUGAAGAAUUAACUAUGGGAAUGUGCAAGGUCAUCUUCAAUUCACUAGUGGACCAGACACAUGGAAAAGAUGAAGGCUUUGAAUGAAGAUGCUUACAAAUGGUUAGAUAAGAUGGCUCCCAAUACAUGAGUAAGGGCUUAUUUUUCUGACUUCCCCAAAUAUGACAUUCUGUUGAACAACAACUGUGAGAUGUUCAACAGUUACAUACUAGAGGCUAGAGAGCUCCUAAUUCUUAGCAUGUUUGAGAGGAUAAAGUGUCAGCUCAUGACAAGGCACUAUAACAAGCAAAAAGAACUAGCAGAAGACUUUCAAGGAGGCUUCUUCCCUAAGAUUAGAAAAAAGGUGGCCAAAAAUGCAGAAUUUGCCAACUUAUGCUAUGCUUUGCCUUCAAGAAGUGGUAUGUUUCAUGUGCAAUUCAAGGAAUAUCAGAACAUUGUCUACAUUCAAGCUAAGAUUUGUGACUACAGAAAGUGGCAAUUGACUGGUGUGCGUUGCUGCCAUGCCAUUGCUUGUUUAAGGCAUAAGAGGAUUAGGUCUGAAUUAGUGCUUCCUAAUUACUAUUCAAUGGAAACAUUCAUGAAGGCAUAUGAGUUCAGCAUUUGGCCUUGCUAAAAGUGAGUGGGCAUGUGUCAAUGGACCAGAAGUGCUUCCUCCAGUCUAUGAGAAAAAGAUAGGCAGGGCACCAAAGCACAGGAAGAAACAACCUCAAAAAAUACAAGGGAAAUAUGGACCUAAAUUGUCUAAGCAUGGUGUCACAAUACAUUGCAAGCACUGUUCAGAGGCUUACCACAAUAGUGGCGGUUGCAGUCUGAAAAAGAUGGGGUUCACUUCAGAAGAGGAAAAAAAGCUUGUUGCAGAAACACAAGCAAGACUACAAUUAGAGACUGAACAAGCUGCUGUGGAAGCUGCUACACUUUAGUCACACAACAAGCUGCUGUUGAGCCUAUCAACCAGAACAUCACACAUGAAGAUGUUGAGGUGCCAAUGACACAAGCAAGUACAACCUUGCUGACAUAGAUGCUUUCACAAGUACAGUUUAUUUUGUCCAACCACAAGCAAUGCUACCUUCUUAACCAUGUCAAUCUAACACUUGUUUUGUAGGAUACUACUCAAUCUACAAUGCAAUACAAUCAGCCUCUUGGGCCAUUGCCUAACAGUCAAUACAUCAUCUCCAAGCAACCACUACCAAGGCCAACCCCACUGACAACAAACACCAAGGUAGGCAAGGCAGCAACAACAAAAAGGAGGAAGGCAUCCACAAGCAACAAUGAUGGUGCUGGAAAGAAGGCUAAGUCCAACACAGGAAGCAAAAGAGGAUGAAAGUCAGUAGCACCAAAGAAUCUGGGACAAGAUCAACAGAAGUGAAAGACAUGAACCACAAUCUUUUUAGUGAUGAACUUUAAUAUUUUGUGCAAGAUAUGAAAAUCUGUAUCUUGCUCUUUUGUGUAUAAUAGUGAAAGCAAAAUAGCUUUAGCCAGAUCAGGUAGCACUUAGUGUGCACUUCUAUAAAGUUAUGCAUCAAAACACUCUGGAUGCUAGUAAUCUUUAGCAAAUGGUGAAGCAUCUGCGAGCCUUUUCAUUCCAUUUCUUGUAGAAUCAACAUAACAAUGCAUUUUGUCUGAUACAUCAUACAUGACUAGUACCAAAUUCCAUUUUAACUUCUCAGUUCAGCAAAUAUAUUGCACAUGAGAAUACAACAGUACACAAUUAAAAAAAACUAGAAUUUCUUUGCCUAUUCCUACUAAAACUCUGAUCUGAACAACUAAUUCUUCUUCCAUGUACUUCUGCAUAUCUGCUUCCUUCAACUGGUUCUGCUCUUCUUCCUGGAACUUGCCAUGCUUCUUUUCUUCAUGCAACUUGUCGUGCUUCUCUUCUUCCUGCAAUCUCUUCUGCUUCUGUUCUUUCUCAGCAGCUCUAUUUCUCUCCUGUUUCUUGACCAUGUCCACAUAUUCCUCCUCCCUGAAUCAAAAUGGGCAACCACGCUAGCACGCACCAAAUCAAAGAACUCAAAUCACACUAAAUUCAAACAAAAUGACUUAAAAGCAAAUCAAGACAUAAACAUACCUUGUGAGCAGGGCACUUGUAAAAUAUGUGGCUGCGAUUCCCAUUCUUAUCAGACUUCACGGCAAACUCAAGAACUGUGUGGCGUCCACACUUAGUGCAGGUGAUGAGCGGAAGGUCAGGCCUCCAACGCCGACUUUGUCGCACGAACGAACUUGAGGUAGCCGAUUCAAGCGCCAUGGAAUUGCGGGAUCUACUGGCCGGUGUCGUCGGGAACUGCGGGGGUGGCAGGGGGCGCGGCGCAGGCAAACAGAUGGGGAUUUUGGAACCUAGGGUUAAGCCAACGAUUCAAGAUGAUUUAGGCCCUGUUUGGGAGAGGGGUGCUAAAAUUUAGCCUUGGGCUAAAAUUUAGCCCCCUCAAAUGAAAGGGCUAAAGUUUAGCACCUUGGGUGUUUGGAAAGAGGGCUAAAGUUUAGCACCUCUUCUGUAAAAUGUCCCUUUUGCCCCUGCUGUGCUGCCCCUCCCACCGUUUUCCUCUCAGCUGGAGUUCAGCAGGGGCUUCUUGGGUGGCCGCGGGGCGCAAGCCGCCAGCAGCAGCGUCGCCGGCGAGCGCGCCGAGGAGGCGGCGGAACGCGGCGGCAGGGCAGGGGAUGAGCCGGCGCGGCGCGGAUCCGGCUGCAGCGGCAGUGGCGAGGCGGACUGCUCUGGCAUCACGGUGGACCUCUCGGACGAGUCCGCCUUCGCCGUCAAGUGGGCCGUCAAGAACUACCUCCGCCCCAGGGAUGCCGUCGUGCUGCUCCACGUCCGCCCCACCUCCGUGCUCUACGGCGCCGACUGGGGCUCCAUCCCGGUCUCCGUCGACGACGAGCCCGACGCCGGCAUCGCCGAGGGCGCGGCGCGUGCCGCGGCCACCUUCGGGGAGGAGGAGACCGAGCUCGUCACGGAGCAGCACCAGAGGCGGCGGUGCCGAGGCCGGGCACCAGAUGAGGAUGGCACAUUCGAUCCGGCAGCGGCAGCGGUGGCGGGGCCGGUCGGGGCGCGGGGCGCAGCGGGCGGUGGGCGGGCAGCGCUGGUGGCGGAGGCUGUGCGGUGCGGGUGGCGGAGGCCGGGCGGUGGCGUGGCGGGCGGCGCGGGCGGCGGAGGCCGGGCGGCGGCGAGGCGGGCGGCGGGCGAGCGAGCGGUGCGGGCGGCGGCGCGGCGGGCGGCGGGCGGGCGGCGCGGGCGGCGGCGAGGCGAGCGGCGGGCGGCGGAGGUUGGGCGGCGGCGCAGCGGGCGGGCGGCGCGGGCCACAGAGGCCGGGCGCGGAGGAGAGAGAGGAGCGUGGGGGAGGAGAGAGGGGAGGGUACCGGUGGAAAAAUGGAGGAGGGGGACCACUUUUAGCACUUCUAGUCAAUUUUAGCACCUCUUGGAGGGCUAAUGGAUUAUGGGGGGCUAAAAUUUAGCCCCUCCAUUUUAGCCUAGGUGUUUGGGAGGAGGAGAGGCUAAAAGUGACUAAAAUGGGGGUGCUAAAAUUUAGCACCAUUGCAGCCACGUUGACAUUACACAUCAUCGCGGAUAACGGGUCUACACCUGCGAGCGACGCAAAUGAGAUCCAAACAGAGUUUAGGGGUCCAAAAGAGCGAUUUGUUAGUUUGGAGACCGGGGUGACACAGCUUCACAAGUUUUAGGACUAGCUGUGCACUUUCCUCAUCAAGAAAAUACUCAAAGCAAGCCCCUUAUCUAAACAUCCUGGAGCCCUAGCCCUUGUGCCAUAUGCCCAUAUCUGAUAUUGUUCGAUUAAGGCGACCCGGUGCCCCAUGCUGCACGUUUGGCCGCUCGAUCCUUUUGAUAGAGGUCGACCAGGUGUUUUGGCGUGCGGCAGUUGCGAGACCAGUGGCCCGUGCAUCCACACCUGUAGCAGAUUUGGUUGUCCUCUCUUUCCUCCAUGGCUCUCUGAUACAGGGCGACCAGGUGCUUCGCCGUGCGGCAAUUUUCAGCCAAAUGGCCCUUGCAUCCGCACUAGUUGCAAAACAUGAAUGGUCUCCCCUUGGCGUUGCCCUUGUUCCUGCUGCCGUCUCCCAGCUCCCUGCAGGCCUUUUGCAGCUGCAAUUCCACCGUGCCCCGGACUGCCUCUUCCCUCUCCAUGCUUGCUCCACUGCGCAGCAGCGGCCUGUGCUUCAGGCACAGGCAGGGAGCCCGCCGGGCGGCCGCCAUGGUUCCUCGAGAAUGAAUGGUUCUGUUUUUGUGCUGGAUGAAUCGGCUCAUGGUAGCCCUGCUUGGUCAUGUGCUGCUUCUGGAGCACAUGCUUAUUGUUACUGGCUUUCGGGGGAGCCAUGGCCUGCGAAGGGCCGGUGGCUUUCCGUCCCCUAGACGGGAUAGCAAGGUCGGUGGCGUUAUAGGCACGCCGCGUCGCGGCCAGGGAAUCUCGCCCUGCGGCGACGGCGCCCUUGCACGCGGCGACCGUCUGCAUUGCGUCGUCUGUGCUCGCGCCGGACUGAGCAACGCCGUUGCCUCUACAUGGAGGAACCGGACUCACCUCGGCGGCGGCGUCCUGGGAGCCAGCCGGUGCAAGUCGGGUGGCGUUGGAGGCGCUGUCGCGCGUGGCGGUGCGCACGCCGUCGCUCUUCUGGGCGCCAGCCUGCAGAACGUUCGGGGCGUCGCGCGUCACGGCGCCGGGUGAGCUUCUGCACACGGUGGCGCCCGCAGCGUCCUCCUGCGUCGCGGUGGCCGCGCGAGCACCGGCCCGUGCAAGGCCGCCAUUGCUACAGGCGAGAGGGAGCGGACUCACCUUGUCGGCCUUCUGAGCCUUGGCUUGCGGCGGAGACGACGCCUCCUCGUCGGCCACUGGCGCGUCCUCUUUGAACGCCUGCAUCUCCUCGGGCUCGACUAUCUCCAUCUCCACGUCGGGCACCUCGUCGUUGGGAUGCUCUUGCUUUGGUUCCACGGCCUCCACUAUGUCCAUCUCCACGUCGGGCACCUCCUCAAUGUCCUGCGGCUCCUGCUUUGGCACCUUGGCCAGCGAAAAGCUAGCGACCUUUGGAGGACUAGCCGUGCCAGAGUCAUGGGGCGUCGACGCGGGGAACUCGUGCCGAACGCCAGUGAUCUUGCUGAUGGUUUCCACGUUCGCCUGCAUCGUGACGGCAGUGAUGGCAUGCCAUUGCCGGUGCCGCGGCCAGGUCGACACGGACUUCCCUUGGCCUCGCCGCCAUCUUGUGACUGUGAGGUGUUCUUGGCGACCGCCAUGUCGUCCUGCGUCUGCAUCUUCUGGUUGGCUGCCUCCACAUCCUGGCCGCCGAUGACGGGCGCCGCGGACACUGCAGCGGAGGCUGGGAUGCGGAGGGGCGGACGACUACGUUGCAGCGGGAGCCCCCCAGUAGGCCUCGCACGGUUUGUGGCGUUCGAGGUGGCGCGACGCGGUGGCAGGUCCAGGGAGCUCCUGCAGAACGACGGCGAUCUUGCUGACGGGAACGGAAUCCACCUGCGCUGUCGCGUCCGCGCUCGCCUUCGGCUCCGCCACCACGAGGCCAUUGUCGGCGGCGGCUGGGCCUGGAGGAACCGGCCUUGACUUCGUCCCGUUGCAAUUCAUGUCCUGCAACGGAGACGCCGCCGCUGCGUGCUCAUGUAUCUUUGGCAUCUCCGCUUGGGGCUCCUGCAUGCGCGUCGCAUCGUGGUCUGCCUCCGUCUCCUGGCGGGACGUCCUCCUUUUCUUGCCUUUUCCGACGUCCACGCCGGUUGCGGCCGGAGCGAAGACGGCGGCGGGAGCUGGGGCAGGGGCAGGGGCGUGUUCGGACUUCUCGAGGGCCCGAUGCCUGUGGGCGUUACCGACGGUGGCAGCCGGCUCAGAGACGGUGGGUGGAAUCGGGACAGGGGCAUGGACGGGCGGUGAUUUUUCAAGGGCCCGCAUCGGGUCGCCGGUGGCGGACGGCAAGGCGGAGACUGCGGUCGGAGCAGGGGCAAGAGCCGGGGCGGGCCGGGACCUGUCGGGUUCCCGGAGAUGGCGGCGGCGGAGGGUGACGGAGUACUGGAGCGAGGAGAUGUAGGUGUCGAGGUCCUCCCAGCGGAAGGGUAGCGGCGCGGGGGCGCAGGCGGCGAGGCGGUCUAAGGUCUCCCGGAGGCGCCGCUUCUUGGCCGGGAGCGCGGCGGCGACCGCCUCCAGCUCCCACAUCUCCAUGACCGCCGGCGGCCGGUCGAGAUCGGGGAGCGCCAGGAGGGCGUGCGGGUGCUGGGGCAGCGGAGCCGCCGCCGCCGCGUUGCCGUUUCGCGAGUCCAUCGCGGUAUCCGUUUCGACUUUCGAGCCGGGGCAGCUGCGGACGAGACGAGUCCGAGCAGGCCAAGAAGGCCGCCUGUUCCGAAACGUGCGCGAUUUCGAACGGUCGAGUUGGGCCGUCGAUAGGACAUCCGUCUCGUCAUGUGGCCGGAGGCUUGACAUGGAAACGAACACCACGAGAUGGGAGACCGGAGAGGAGCUGCCAUGGUCAGAGCGUUGGAUAAUAUGAGGAUGGAAGGUGCAAUAUGGUAUCUAUUAUAAGCGACAUAAUUGAAAACAAUUUUUAUAGCCCUCGUACUUCUCACGAAGGACUCACUUGCGGUCAGGAAGUGAUAAAAAUAUACGACGAAGAGCGGGAGGACGGGAAAAAAAAAUAGAUGAUAGGAAAUGUUUCUGCUAAAAAUCUCUAUUUUUUCUCACCGUUCUUUCCUCCGUAUCCGUCCGUGCGUACCCUCCCGCGCGCCAAUCCCCACCAAUCAAAUUAAUUAAUUGAUUGACAAUCAAUCAAAUUGAUUCAGAACAAUUAGAUCACCAAUCAUAUUGAUUGAUUGAUUGAUUGAUUGAUUGACGAUCAAUCACAGUUAAUCUAAUCUGGAACAAUUAGAUCACAUUGAGUUUGCCAAUUAUGUCGAAACCCUUCCCAUUACAAUUCUGUUGUCUCACCAAUCCAGAACGUCACGUCCCUUCCAAUUACAUUGAAACCCUUCUAAUUAUUAGCUCAAUAAUCCAAUCAAAUUAAUUGAUUGAUUGAAUCUUUUUAUUGAUUGAUUGAAGCAUGAAUACUUUCCUUUCCAAUCUCUAUCUCAUAUAUAUAAGGUGCUUUUCCACCCCUCCUGUAGCCAAAUUUAUCCCACAACCCACUGCUUGAAGGAGUACGGUACAUGCUGCUUUUCAUGUCUCUUAUGGUUGCUAUGGCAUAUCCUCAUGGAUUUGCGGUUGAAGUAGCAGCAGAGUAGGUUUUAUUGGUCUGGUACAUCGCAGUUUAUUUCAUCCACAUGGAACAAGAGAAUUAUUUUUGUGUGAUGCCAGUCACUAAUAGUAGAAUUGGAUUUUUGUUAUUGUUGUAGCGUUUCUUAUAAUAACCUAACAUUCCCCAUCUAUCAAUUAACAAUUUAAAUGUUAGUUUGUUUGGGACAUUUUUAAUAUAAACAAGCAUAGCUUUAUUUAUUUAUCAUUGUGUAUCUGACAGCUUCCGAUCAAAUUUACAUUUAUUAUAAUUUCUUAUUUUUAUUUUAUUACAUUUUAAACCCGCGCCUGUGGCACCUCCACUAGUUUGUAUAAAGGAUCUCAUAAUUGACUCGUCUAUAUUUUGAGAAAAAUAUAGAACCAAUGUGGGCCAAAUAUAGACACAGUUGCAUACCGUACCGACUGAAUUAAAUGGAACCAUUCAAUACCAGAGAAGUGAUUUGUACUUCCCAAGUUGGGAGGUGCCAAAUUGGCAUUUUGCCAUAAAUGCGACACUGUAGGUUUCGUUUGUAUUUGUGAAUUAUUGUCCAAAUAUUGACUAAUUAGGCUCAAAAGAUUCGUCUCGCAAAGUACAACAAAACUGUGCAAUUAGUUUUUGAUUUCGUCUACAUUUAGUACUCCAUAAAUGUACCGCAAGUUUGAUGUGAUGGGGAAUCUUUUUUUUGCAUAGUGUCAAAGUUGGGAGUUUGGAGGGAAGUAAACAAGAGCUAGGAUUGCUUGAAUGCGUGUAGUUUACCGUAUCUUUGUGCAUUGACGCCUCUAGAAGAAGAGGUUGGUGGGUAUCGGCAUAUUGACGCCACACGUCCAUAUAAAGAUUUGCAUACCUUUGUUGAGUAAAAGUUCUUGAAGAAGCCUCCACACGUCCAUAUAGUCAAGGAUAUGAUUCGAUAAGUUAGCAGCAAACUAGCGACACGUCAUAAUAAACUCAUAUGAUCACCGAUAAUCUUCAUGGCUUGAUGCAUUGUUUUUACUGUUAAAGCCACUUCCAAUGCAUAUUAAAAGUAUACCAUAUAUCAUUUUUGUAUGCCAUAUGAUAGAGUUAAUUGAGGGAGGGAGGGGGAUUGUAUGUUUGUAGAAGUACACCUUGGGAUAAAUUUCUAAGACUAGAAAAAAUUCACAUCUCGAGUCGACUAUUAUAUAUACAAACACACGGACCAAUAGAUUUUAUUUUGGCAUACUCCGAUCCCUCUCUGUCCGGGAAAUAUAUUGGAUCCUAUCAUUUUUUCCCACAAAUAUAAGGAGCCCGAGGGUACAUUAACAGCGUGUUUGGUUUACAGAAUCAAUCAGUCCAGGUUGGAGUCAUGCGAGACGACGUCGUCGUCCGUUGUUUUCCCUGCCGGAUGUCUUGAGUUAUCUGAUCAGUUGGUUUAGACUAGAUUUAAUGAGCGGCACAUGCUCUUUUCCUUUCCUUCUUAAUUAGUUUGCCCUAAAAAUCCUAGGAUCUCUUGUAUAUAUGUUUUAAGAUGGGGAGUAGGAAACAACAAUACAAUACCAUGCAUGCGAGACUACUCUCAUUAGGAGUACCAUUCUCAUUAAUUAUUGUGCUAUAUGUCAGUAAAUUGGAUGAUAUGAAAAGAGAAUAAUGAAGGGAUGUAUGGUACUAUUUCAAUUAUCAAAUGUGGUACAAUAAGAAAAAAAAGGAUGUUCUGGUUUAAAACCAAAUUUUCUAGUUUUUAUGUAUGAUUAUUACUAACUAUCAAGCACUCAUUAGACAGGGACCCAUUAGGAUAAGCACCCUCCGGGUUGUCCUAAACUUGGCAGAUUAGUUAGGGCAUUCCCCAAUACCAUCAAGAUAUAAGAAGAACAACAAUUAGGGUUGGAAAAGUUAGACAAAGGGAUAAAAGGUAUUAAUAAUAGAUAAAAACAGAUUAAUUUUGUCAAUCGAUGUCUCUUCAAUCGGCCGUAACCCUUUAUAUUUAUAGGGUGGGAGGUCUUGCCCUAUUAGAAGUUCAACUUAUAUUUAAAAAUCCAUCGAAAACUGAGCCAAAACCUUCUAUACAACACUUAACUCAGAAUAUAUUCCGUUUUUCGGAUGUUCUAGUUUUAGCUUUGAAUGUUCUGAUUUUGGUCGUCAACAUGACCAUGUCUUUUUGGUAAAUUUUGUGUACCAAAAAAAAUCUUUGGACCAAAACCAUCUAAGGACAAUGAUCUACGGAAUUUUAUCGCCACGACACUUGAUCUUGCUCAAGGUGAUGUUGAAUUAACUUUCUUGGUCUAUAUUCCUUCUUAAAGGAGUGCGUUCUCACAUGUAUCACAUCAUCAUCUUGUUUCUCCAUUAAUCUUUGUUGGCGUAUUCGUUGCAGUUUUCUCUUUUGUGUGCGUGAUAAGCCCGAGGGACACCACCUUGGCUGAAAAUACUUUGGAUCCCGUUUGAUGCUCUUUUGUGCAGCGUGAGAGCUGUGCACUGAGGCUUGGCGGUGCCUGUUGCCAAAUUCACGGCCGCUUGAGCCGGCUGGUGCAAAGUUGGUAGCGCGGCGCUUCGCAGCGGGCAAGUCUUGCUGAACAGUAGUGGCGAUCUUGGUCGUGGAGCCUUCCUGAAUUUUGUCAACUGUGCUCACGCCACCACCUGCAGCAAGCCCCGACUUGUCGGCCUCUUCGUCCAUGACAUGCAGCCGAGAUGUCUUCUCGGCCACUUGCAUCUCCAUGCGGGUAGCCUCUUCGCUCAAUUCCUGGGUCGUGGCGGCCGGGGGAGGACUCUUGGCGAACGCCGGCGAUCUUGGAGAGACAGGGCCGACCGGCAUUGCAGCUUCUGUAGACGACGCCUGCGCCUGGGCGUGGGCGCGUCCACCGACGCCACAUGGAGCAGAGGAACUCACCUUCUGUUCGUCCUGCUCCUGCAACGUAAAUGCGGCGGCGGCAGGCCGGGAUCUCUCGAGAGCCCGUAGCUGGCGGAGGCGGAGGGUGACGGAGUACUGGAGGGAGGAGAUGUGCCUGUCGAGGUCCUCCCAGCAGAAGGGGAGGGGCGCGGGGGAGCAGGCGGCCAGGCGCUCGAAGGUCUCCUGGAGGUGACGCUUCUUGGCCGGGAGGGCGGAGGCGGCGGCGUCCAGCUCCCACAUGUAUCGCGAGUCCAUCGCAAUCUGCCAAUCUGCUGCUUUGAAACCGGCAUGGAGCAGCGAAACCGGCCCACGCCUGCGUUUUAUGUACGAGUCCAAGGCCAGAAGGGCUGGAACUUGGACCCCGCACGAGCUCUUUCCGUAGGCCAGAAGGGAUGGAUGGUUGAGUUGGGCCUAAAUUUGAUGCACAAGGAGAGCAUCCAUCCGAACCAGUGAAAUCUGAAAGAACUCGUGAAACAAUAUUAUUGCUCUUGCGUGAAGUUCCCAAACGUUACACAACUUGAUGUCUCUUACUAGGGUAUUCUCUCUAUCCCUUUUUUUAAAGUUUCCUCUCUUUCUUGGAAAACAAUUGCAACUAAUUAUGGAUACCUCGAUGGUAACCAACUGCUAAAGUUUAGCACCUAUCACAUCGGAAGUUUGGAUAGUAAUUAGAAGUAUUAAACAUAUGCUAAUUACAAAACUAAUUGCACAGAUGGAGUCUAAUUCGCGAGACGAAUCUAUUAAGCCUAAUUAGUCCAUGAUUUGACAAUAUGAUGCUACAGUAGCCAUUUGCUAAUGAUGGAUUAAUUAGCCUUAAUAGAUUCGUCUCACAAAUUAGACUCCAUCUGUGCAAUUAGUUUUGCAAUUAGCUCAUGUUUAGUCCUCCUAAUUAGCAUCCGAACAUCCGACGUGAUACUGCUAAAGUUUAGCACCUAGUAUCCAAACACCCCCCUACAUGUGUUUUAAAAAAAAUACUAAUGCAGUGACUGCUAUAAUAAAAACUAGACCGUCAGGGAAAUAUAUUUUCUAAUGCCAUACUUUCACUAUUAGAAACCGUGUGGGGCAACAUAAGAAUGUGUAUUUUGCAUUUUACUUUCCAAACAUACUUUUUUUCUUUAGAUUAUAAGGAUUAUACAAAUGUAUCAAAUAUACAUUUGCAUCACCACGCACAAUGUUAUGCGGGUGCGGGUGUGAGCAUCCAUCUUGGGGGGGGGGGGGGGGGGGGGGGACCUGGGGGCUAACUACUGGAGACCGUCGAAGUCGUAAGGAACGUGGCGGUCCGACGUAUUCUUCGUGAAAAAAAAAAUUGAGAACGGGGUGUCUCGUGCCUUUUGCCCCCAGUGAGGCUUUUUUCCCCCCCGCCCCACAGGGGGCGAGGUUUAUUUCCCCCCCCUUCCCCACUUUUGAAUAUUUUACAAAAAAAAAUNNNNNNNNNNNNNNNNNNNNNNNNNNNNNNNNNNNNNNNNNNNNNNNNNNNNNNNNNNNNNNNNNNNNNNNNNNNNNNNNNNNNNNNNNNNNNNNNNNNNCCUGACAUGGGUGCUGGGUAUCUGACUCGGGAAAAAAAGAUUAGGACAUGUGUGUCUAGGUAGCAUUGCCUGCGAGUGCACAUUUUAUCACAUGCCUCACUAGGGGUCAUGUUUAGUUACCCCCCAAUUCCCAACUUUGAUACUAUGCAAAAAGAAGAUUCCUCAUCACAUCAAACUUGCAGUACAUGCAUGGAAUACUAAAUGUAGACGAAAUUAAAAACUAAUUGCACAGUUUUAUUGUACUUUGCGAGACGAAUCUUUUGAGCCUAAUUAGUAAAUGUUUGGACAAUAUUUCACAAAUACAAACGAAAUGCUACAGUUGCGCAUUUAUGGCAAAAUACCAAUUUUGCCACUCCCAAAUUGUGAACUAAACAAGGCCUAGAAUUAUGUGUUCAUUCUACAAAUUUUCAUCUCUUUACUACAAUGGAGUUAUUGUUGUUUGCACUUAGGCUUCAUCUAACCUAUUAAUUGAAUAGCACUUGCAAAAGAAGGCUAUUCAUGUGCAUUGAUGAAGAUAAUUAAGCUCCUGAAGAUUGCAAUAUCUUUGCGCAUUGAGAGCCUUGAAUAAAAAAUGCAUGAAUAUUGGCAUAUCUUUGUGCACUGAAGGCUCUUCAGUGACAAUCUAAUGAUAUAAAUUCUGACAGUUAAAGUGCCAUGCAUGGCUGCAGGCUCCUCCACACAUGAUACAAGAAAGUAAAGCCACAUGCACCACCGUGAAUUUUCUUCAUGGCUUCAGAUAUUUCUCUUUGGGAAUCCGUAUGAGUUAUGCGGGCCCGUUUGGUUUCCAGGACUAAAGUUUAGUCCCUGUCACAUCGAAUGUUUAGAUACUAAUUAGAAGUAUUAAAUGUAGACUAAUUAUAAAACCAAUUGCAUAGAUGGAGGCUAAUUCGCGAGACGAAUCUAUUAAGCCUAAUUAGUCCAUGAUUUGACAAUGUGAUGCUACAGUAAAUAUGUGCUAAUCAUGAAUUAAUUAGGCUUAAUAGAUUCAUCUCGCGAAUUAACCUUCAUCUGUGUAAUUAGUUUUAUAAUUAACUCAUAUUUAGUUCUGAAUUGCUUUGUGCUGGAUCUUUUAGAUCGUUGCAUUCCAUUCCGAUCAACCUUCAGCAGACAUAAUGCAGGUUCAUAUAAGUUAAAAGCUACAAAAUCAAAACAAAUUAAAGUCCAACAAUGAAAGGAAAUGACAGUAAUAAAAAAAGCAAAAUGGAAUAUAUGAAAAUAACAUGCCAAAAGGUCUAUAGUAGAAUUGUAUAAUAUUGUGCCUCGUCCCAUUAAACGGCAGAAGGCACAAUAAGGUAGGUUUAUAUAUAGAUUAUUAAAAUCCAUAAAUCCAAUCCAAACAAAUCAAAAUAUUAAACUCCAACAAUAAAGUAAACUAAUAAUUCAUCGCAAAAAGGAAGUAAAUAAUAAUAAAGCCAAAAUAGAAUAGAAUAAAAUAGAAUUGGACAGAAGGAAAUAUUGGCCUUCAUCCAACGCGUAGCAGUAUUGGAGCCACCAUGGUAUACCUGAACCGUGCGCUAGAAGCUGGAUACGAGGCUUCCUCUGGAAGCCAUUCGGACAGACACGCUACUGGUCAAACCCCCCUCUGCUCCCCGCGCGCCUCAAGCCCUCCCUCCCCUCCCUUCCAGCCAGUUCCUCCUCACACCUCGUAGUCGCCACUGCAGCUCGGCGUCCUCCGUGAACACCGCCCUCCUCAGGCCCCCGGGAUUUUGUUGGGUGGGGAGGCCGGCGGCGGCGGGGCGCCACGAGUUCCAGUUCGCUCUCCGCUUGUCCGCUGCUCCCAGCUCUCAUCCUCUGCCCUUUCCAGUUUUCCCCGCACAAGAUGGAGCAACCUCAAAUAAUUCUGUUUGUAGCCAUGGCCGUGGCUUGCUUCCACUUCCUGCGAUCCCUGUUAGUGUUGUUCCAUCUUGGACGACCAGUGCUAAACAAGCUGCCAAGGUAUGUAGCAGUGUUCUUGAUUCUUGAAUUCCUACAUGUGGAUUGUGUGAGAAUGCAGUAUGUCUUAGAAAAAAGUAGCUGAUUGUAUUUAUUUAGUUACCUGUUCAUUUGUUUAUUCCCGUCAUUUAGCCAUUUAAUUAGGAGCUAGCUAUAGAGACAAUCCAAUGUGACUAUGAAAUGUUGUGUUUUUAGGAACUACAAAGACAAUGGUUAUAUCUUUGGGUUUGAGACAUAAAGUGUACUGCAUGUUUGCAUCAGUCAUUUUGGAACAAUAGAGACAAUAUUCAUUUAAAUUUGUGUCUGCCAGUUAUUUGGGAACUACGACAAAUGCAAUGGAGGGCACAGAUGUUUCUAGUGAGCCUAAAAGGGGCAUGGAUGGGAUGACACAAGUCAUGGAGUGCGUGGGGGACACAAGUCAGCCAUCAGUGACUGAUGCGGUAGGGAGGUGUGCCUAAUUGCUUGCUACUAUUUGUCACAGGUAUAUUUGGCAAAUGAUUGGGCACCUGUAUUGCUUCUUUUUAAAGGACAAGCAGGGUUGUUCAUUUGUCGCAGAUUCAAGGUACCCAGAUGAAUGUUCCAACAAUGUGGAGCCACCAGAUGAUCGGAUGAGUAAAUCUGAACAUGCUAGGCGAGUCCACCAGCUUGAGGAGAUGAAUGCAAUACUACAACAGAAAAUAAUUUGGUUGCAACAUGAGCUCAGACAAAGUGAUGCAUGCCUUGCAUUUAAGAAAGAUGAGUACAACACACUGAUCGGUGCUGUUCGGGUAACUAUAUUCAUUUUUUAUUAAUGUUUUAUAUCUGUGAAAUCCUAUUUAAUUACUUACUGCUUGUGAUUGCAGAAUUUCUUCGGCAUUUUCAAACCUCAUGAGGAAGCUUCAGCAGCUGCAGUUUCAUUUAUCAAGGCUGAGGGUAAUUUUUAUCAGCAGGUAGCUUGCAUGCAGGUAUGUGAAAAAAAAAAUGUUUUAGUUGAUUCAUUACAAGGGAUGGUCCUAACGUAUAGUUUCAUGUGGCAGGAUUUCUUAAGCUAUUUGGUGCUGGACCGGAAAUUUGGGAUCAAGUACCAGCGGCGCAAGAAGAAACUGUCGCCUGAACCCACAACCAACCAAGAUAUAUAGGCAUCUGUAAUUUACUAGUUUGUUUAGAUUCAUGUAUUUAUUUCCUAGUUAUCUGUAGUUUCCAAAUUUAUCUUGAUGGCACCUAUUGUCUAAGUGCCAAAUAUUGAUUUAGGAAGGAACCUAGAAUUUAUAUGUAUCUCUCAAAUAUUGACAUCAAAUCAAUGUCAAAUUUGUCAAUCGAGGUGUUUGGAUACCCCUACUAAAGCUUAGCACCUGUUACAUCAUAUGUUUAGAUGUUAAUUAGGAGUAUUAAACAUAGGUUAAUUACAAAACUAAUUGCACAGAUGGAGUUUAAUUCGCGAGAUGAAUCUAUUAAACCUGAUUAGUCCAUGAUUUGACAAUGUGGUGCUACAGUAACCAUUUGCUAAUGAUGGAUUAAUUAGGCUUAAUAGAUUCAUCUCGUGAAUUAGCACGGGGUUAUGCAAUUAGUUUUAUAAUUAGCUCAUGUUUACUCCUCCUAAUUAGCAUCCGAACAUUCGAUGUGGCACUGCUAAAGUUUAGCAUCUAGUAUUCAAACACCCCCUUAGUUAACCAGUAGAAGCCCAUUGAUUUGAUGGCAAUCCGCUUCCUUUCCUCUCCAGCUCCUACCUGAGCAUGCCAAUACCAACUUGUAGCACCUCCUUCAUCAGUUGAAUGUGACUUAGGCCUGUUUGGAUACUAAACUUUAGCCCCUGUCAUAUCGGAUGUUUGGAUACUAAUUAAGAAUAUUAAAUAUAAGCUAAUUACAAAACUAAUUGCACAGAUGGAGGUUAAUUCGUAAGACGAAUCUAUUAAGCCUAAUUAGUUCAUGAUUUGACACUGUGGUGCUACAUUAACCAUUUGCUAAUGAUGAAUUAAUUAGGCUUAAUGGAUUCGUCUCACGAAUUAGCCCAAAACUUCUACAAUUAGUUUUAUAAUUAGCCCAUGUUUAGUCCUUCUAAUUAGCAUCCGAACAUUCGAUGUGACAAGGGUUAAACUUUAAUCCGAGGAUCCAAACACCUUCGUAUAGAAAAAAAAUACAUUAUAGCUGAAACAGGUUACGCCUACACUUUUGGGUACAUGCUAGAAUACUACUACUUUUGUAUAGAAAAAAAUUAAUGGAAACAGGUUACGGUUUCUGCAAAGUUUGCACACAUUAUGGUUCACUAAUGAGGGCAUGCAGCAAAUCGCCAGCUUUUGAUGAGCUGAUCCUCUCAUCAGCCCAUUAUAGCUGUGUUCUAUCAUGGAAGGAUUGUAUACCUAUUGUUGCAUCAUCUGUAGAUAUAUAAAAAAUUCUGCUCAUGCUGCUGUCUUGGGGACCAGCUGAGUACUGCAUUGUGAGGAUGAGGAACAAUAUAAUUCACUGGGUCCCUGAAGCAACUACCAGCUGCUUGAAGUUGAUUGGCGUGGUGUACUGGGCUGGGCCGUCGUAGAAGGCCCGGGUUCUGACCGACGCGGCCCGCUGGGAAGGGUGGAUCCCGUCCCAGAAGUAAUUCCGGUCGUGGUCAGCGCAGACAGCGGAGGUGGGUAGGCACCCCGCCGCGCCCAGCCGCCCGCUGCCGCAGCACGCGCUGGCGACGUCGGUGAACCCCGACGCCAGCGGGUCGGCGAAGAUGGCCGCCAUGAUGCCGUAGGAGUCGGCGAGGGAGUAGGCGAGGCCCUG
rnacentral:lncRNA from 1 species